rnacentral:rRNA from 1 species
GACGAACCGUGCGAACGUUGUUCGGAAUCACUGGGCUUAAAGGGCGCGUGAGGCGGAUCAUCAAGUCAGGGGUGAAAUCCCACGGCUCAACCGUGGAAGUGCCUUUGAUACGUGGUGGUCUGGAGUGGGGUAGGGCAUGCGGAACUGGUGGUGGAGCGGUGAAAUGCGUAGAUAUCGACUAGGAACGCCGGUGGCGAAAGCGGCGUCGGC